rnacentral:tRNA from 1 species
AAGAUUUUAAGUUAAAUAAACUAAUAGCCUUCAAAGCUUUAAAUAAAUUAAAUUAAUUUAAAUCUUA